UCUCUGUUUCUGAAUGUUUGUCCUACUGAACGUAUCCAAACAUGGCUGACACCGGGGCGCGCCGGUCCUGCGCCUGCCGUGCUGCUCCGGCCACCGUGGCCGAGGGAUGCGGGAUGCGGACAGCUCUGGGAGGUUCCGCGCCGUUCUCUGCGGGCGACGCCCGAUGCUCAGCGACAACAGCGCUGCGCAGCCAGGCCCAAGCCCUCCUCCGCCCAGCUCCUGCAGCGUAAGAGGCUCCUCCGCCCGCUGGCAGUGGGAAAGAGCCGAGGGCCCACGCGAGGCGGCGAGCGGGAUUAUGAGAGCGUGGGGCUCAACGGCGAACAGGCGGCCACGGCGCGCACGUGUGUCCAGCCCUGGCUGCGGCGGCGGC
rnacentral:lncRNA from 1 species